ACUGCUCAGUAACACGUGGACAACUUACCCAAGAGUCCGGGAUAACCCCGGGAAACUGGGGAUAAUACCGGAUAGAUCAUCUUUGCUGGAAGGCUUGGUGGUUGAAACUUCCGGGGCUUUUGGAUGGGUCUGCGGCUGAUUAGGUUGUUGCCGGUGUAACGUACCGUCAAGCCUGUAAUCAGUACGGGUUGUGGGAGCAAGAGCCCGGAGAUGGAUUCUGAGACACGAAUCCAGGCCCUACGGGGCGCAGCAGGCGCGAAAACUCUACAAUGCAGGCAACUGCGAUAGGGGAACAUCGAGUGAUCCUCAUAUUGGGGGUCUGUCCACCUGUCUAAAAAACGGGUGUUAGCAAGGGCCGGGCAAGACCGGUGCUAGCCGCCGCGGUAAUACCGGCGGCUCGAGUGGUGGCCGAUAUUAUUGAGUCUAAAGGGUCCGUAGCCGGCUUUGCAAGUCUCUCGGGAAAUCCAGCGGCUUAACCGUUGGUCGUCCGGGGGGUACUACAUUGCUUGGGACUGGGAGAGGUAGGAGGUACUCAGGGGGUAGGAGUGAAAUCCUGUAAUCCUUUGGGGACCACCGGUGGCGAAGGCGUCCUACCAGAACAGGUCCGACGGUGAGGGACGAAAGCUAGGGGCACGAACCGGAUUAGAUACCCGGGUAGUCCUAGCCGUAAACGAUGCUCGCUAGGUGUCACAACAGUCGUGAAUUGUUGUGGUGCCGUAGGGAAGCCGUGAAGCGAGCCACUUGGGAAGUACGACCGCAAGGUUGAAACUUAAAGGAAUUGGCGGGGGAGCA
rnacentral:rRNA from 1 species